rnacentral:lncRNA from 1 species
CUGGUAGUUUUUUCUCUCUCUAGUUUAUCUACGAUUCUGCAGUUCUAAUUACUUUCUUCGUUUUGCUUGUAUGAUUUUGAGUUGGCACGGACUUUAAGAAAGUUAAAGAAGAUUUUUGAAUCUAUUGAGUCAAGGCGGAUUCUUUAAGUGUUUGGUGUAGGCAUCUAUGUACCAAAAUGCCUUUUAACCUUGUGGUCUGAAACAUGUCAUGUGGAAAGUUUUUUAACCUUGUGGUCUGAAACAUGUCAUGUGGAAAGUUUGAAAUUAAAGAGUUGUUAGAAAGGAAAGUGACAAAAGUUAGAAAAACAAAUUGAAAUAGGAGGGAGUAGUUUGAAGAUGGUAUCAACUAGUUGAGAUUAAAGCUUAGAUGUUUCUGGUAUGCUCUCAAGGUUGGGGUAGGAAAAAGUGUGGGGUUUUGGGGAAGGUGUAUUUUAGGUGAACACGUGAUUUGCCUUGAAUGAUAAAUUAUCUGCCAAGGAUGGAAUGAAUGAGUCUGAGUAGAAGGGAACGAAACAUAGGAUUCUUAUAGCUACUUCAACUAGUUGAGUGAUUGGUCAAUUUGAAGCGACUAGAAGUAAUUUAGAAAAUGCUUUUGAUAACUUUGGUCAAGUCAGGACCUUGACUUCUGUAUAAUGCUUACUAGAGAAGAUGUGCAUCCACUAGAGAUAAAUACAGGAAGUCCUUUUGAUGAAUAUUGGUCAAGUUAUGACCUUAACUCCGUAAUAUGUGCUACAUUGCCCUU